AGUGAACGCUGGCGGUAGGCCUAACACAUGCAAGUCGAACGGCAGCACAGUAAGAGCUUGCUCUUACGGGUGGCGAGUGGCGGACGGGUGAGGAAUACAUCGGAAUCUACUUUUUCGUGGGGGAUAACGUAGGGAAACUUACGCUAAUACCGCAUACGACCUACGGGUGAAAGCAGGGGAUCUUCGGACCUUGCGCGAUUGAAUGAGCCGAUGUCGGAUUAGCUAGUUGGCGGGGUAAAGGCCCACCAAGGCGACGAUCCGUAGCUGGUCUGAGAGGAUGAUCAGCCACACUGGAACGGGGACACGGUCCAGACUCCUACGGGAGGCAGCAGUGGGGAAUAUUGGACAAUGGGCGCAAGCCUGAUCCAGCCAUACCGCGUGGGUGAAGAAGGCCUUCGGGUUGUAAAGCCCUUUUGUUGGGAAAGAAAAGCAGCAGGUUAAUACCCCGCUGUUCUGACGGUACCCAAAGAAUAAGCACCGGCUAACCUCGUG
rnacentral:rRNA from 1 species